AACGAACGCUGGCGGCAUGCCUAACACAUGCAAGUCGAACGAGACCUUCGGGUCUGGUGGCGCACGGGUGCGUAACGCGUGGGAACCUGCCCUUAAAUACGGAAUAACUCCCCGGAAGGGGUGCUAAUACCGGAUCAUGUCUCCGGAACGAAGAUUUAUCGCCUUUGGAUGGGCCCGCGUUGGCUAACCUUGUGAUUAGGGUAAAAGCCUACCAAGGCGACGAUCCAUAGCUGGGCUGAGAGGAUGAGCAGCGACACUGGUACUGAGACACGGCCCAGACUCCUACGGGAGGGAGCAGUGGGGAAUAUUGGACAAUGGGGGAAAGCCUGAUGCAGCAAUGACGCGUGAGUGAUGAAGGCCUGAGGGUUGUAAAGCUCUUUUAUCCGGGAUGAUAUUGACAGUACCGGGAGAAUAAGCUCCGGCUAACUCCGUG
rnacentral:rRNA from 1 species